rnacentral:rRNA from 1 species
AAGUCGAGCGAACGGACGAGAAGCUUGCUUCUCUGAUGUUAGCGGCGGACGGGUGAGUAACACGUGGAUAACCUACCUAUAAGACUGGGAUAACUUCGGGAAACCGGAGCUAAUACCGGAUAAUAUUUUGAACCGCAUGGUUCAAAAGUGAAAGACGGUCUUGCUGUCACUUAUAGAUGGAUCCGCGCUGCAUUAGCUAGUUGGUAAGGUAACGGCUUACCAAGGCAACGAUGCAUAGCCGACCUGAGAGGGUGAUCGGCCACACUGGAACUGAGACACGGUCCAGACUCCUACGGGAGGCAGCAGUAGGGAAUCUUCCGCAAUGGGCGAAAGCCUGACGGAGCAACGCCGCGUGAGUGAUGAAGGUCUUCGGAUCGUAAAACUCUGUUAUUAGGGAAGAACAUAUGUGUAAGUAACUGUGCACAUCUUGACGGUACCUAAUCAGAAAGCCACGGCUAACUACGUGCCAGCAGCCGCGGUAGUACGUAGGUGGCAAGCGUUAUCCGGAAUUAUUGGGCGUAAAGCGCGCGUAGGCGGUUUUUUAAGUCUGAUGUGAAAGCCCACGGCUCAACCGUGGAGGGUCAUUGGAAACUGGAAAACUUGAGUGCAGAAGAGGAAAGUGGAAUUCCAUGUGUAGCGGUGAAAUGCGCAGAGAUAUGGAGGAACACCAGUGGCGAAGGCGACUUUCUGGUCU